ensembl:snRNA U6 U6 spliceosomal RNA
GUGCUCACUUCGGCAGCACAUAUGCUAAAAUUGCAAUGAUACAGAAAAGAUUAGCAUGGCCCCUGCACAAGGAUGACACGCAAAUUCGUGAAGUGUUCCAUAUUUCU